GGCUCAGGGUUCUCUGUCCAGUCCUCAGCUGCCCUGGAGCACCCAAGAGGCAGAUUGGCUGGGUGAUGCCUACGUGUUGAGAUCCUGGUCCCUCCACACACGCUCUACCAGCUGCUGCGUGAUGCCCGUGUCCAAGAUCAGGUUGUGCAGAAGGAAGUUGUUGCCUGGAACAGGAGGGGAGGGCUGGGGGUGGGGGCAUCUUCUUGCAGCUCCUUGCCCACCCUCGCCCCCACCCUCAAGGCUCCACCAGGAGCCUCCUCCAUGACCUGGCCCAGGCCCAGCCCUCAGCUUGUGCCUGCUUAUUUCCACACCUGCCCGGCCUCUGGGUUCCUCUGGGCUGCCCCAUGCUGCCUGGGCACUGCCCAGAGCCAGCUGCCCUGCCAGGCACUCACACUGCUUGGAGUCUGGAGUCACUUUCUCCAUGAGCUCAAUAAAGUUUUUCAGGAACUCGG
rnacentral:antisense_RNA from 1 species